rnacentral:rRNA from 1 species
UUCCAGNCGACNACGGGUANCCGGCCUGAGAGGGCGACCGGCCACACUGGGACUGAGACACGGCCCAGACUCCUACGGGAGGCAGCAGUGGGGAAUAUUGCACAAUGGGGGAAACCCUGAUGCAGCGACGCAGCGUGCGGGAUGACGGCCUUCGGGUUGUAAACCGCUUUCAGCAGGGAAGAAGCCUUUCGGGGUGACGGUACCUGCAAAANAAGUACCGGCUAACUACGUGCCAGCAGCCGCGGUAAUACAAA